rnacentral:rRNA from 1 species
AUUGACGCUGGCGGCAGGCCUAACACAUGCAAGUCGAACGAGUGGCGGACGGGUGAGUAAUGUCUGGGAAACUGCCCGAUGGAGGGGGAUAACUACUGGAAACGACUGCUAAUACCCAGACCUGAAGGAGGGGAUUGCGUCUGAUUAGCUAGUUGGAGGGGUAACGGCUCACCUAGGCGACGAUCCCUAGCUGGUCUGAGAGGAUGACCAGCCACACUGGAACUGAGACACGGUCCAGACUCCUACGGGAGGCAGCAGUGGGGAAUAUUGCACAAUGGGCGCAAGCCUGAUGCAGCCAUGCCGCGUGUAUGAAGAAGGCCUUCGGGUUGUAAAGUACUUUCAGCGAGGAGGCGUUACUCGCAGAAGAAGCACCGGCUAACUCCGUGCCAGCAGCCGCGGUAAUAC